rnacentral:rRNA from 1 species
UGAAAGUAUGGGCCGUGAGCAGUGGUAAGACAGAGGGUGCGAGCGUUAAUCUGAGUUACUGGGCGUAAAGCGCGCGUAGGUGGCUAAUUAAGUAAAAUGUGAAAUCCCCGAGCUUAACGUGGGAAUUGCAUUCGAUACUGGUUGGCUAGAGUAUGGGAGAGGAUGGUAGAAUUCCAGGUGUAGCGGUGAAAUGCGUAGAGAUCUGGAGGAAUACCGAUGGCGAAGGCAGCCAUCUGGCCUAAUACUGACACUGAGGUGCGAAAGCAUGGGGAGCAAACAGGAUUAGAUACCCCAGUAGUC